rnacentral:misc_RNA from 1 species
UUAUUAGAUUAUAAUAAUUCGACAUUUUUUACAGAGUAAGUUUGUAAGUUUGACAAGACCAGCGCACAGAGCGACUGGGCCUGACAAGACAUUUCACAGGUGUUAUGGAUGUGAAGGGAAUUCGCCCGGAGGCUACUAUCCCGGUUCUCAAUAAAGAGGGUUAUUCACUAAUGAUCCUUCCGCAGGUUCACCUACGGAAA